rnacentral:misc_RNA from 1 species
GUUUACAUAUUUACCUAGAAACGACAUAGAGCAGAUGAUGAAAUCAACAAGCGUGAGAUUGAGGUGCUUCGUGAUGGCCAGUGGCAGUGGAUCAAGUGGCGUCAUGUACAAGUGGGAGAUAUUGUCAAGGUUCACAACAACAGAUUCUUUCCUGCUGACUUAAUCAUCUUGGCCUCCAGUGAGCCACAAGCUCUGUGUUACGUGGAAACUGCUAACCUUGAUGGAGAAACAAAUCUGAAGAUAAGACAAGGUCUACAAGAAACAGCACACCUCUUGGAAGCACGUGAUUUAAUGAACCUAUCAGGCAAAGUGGAAUGUGAAGCACCGAAUAGAUUUCUUUACCAGUUUACUGGUAACUUGAAAAUGACCAGCAGGCAGGCCGUCCCUUUAAGCCCAGAUCAAGUCCUUCUGCGAGGGGCAAAACUCCAGAACACGAAUUGGGUGUUUGGUCUUGUAGUUUACACUGGCCAUGAAACUAAACUUAUGAAGAAUUCUGCUACCUCAGCACCUCUCAAACGCUCUACAGUGGAUAAGCAGACCAACAAUCUGAUCAUUCUGCUGUUUUUCCUGCUUAUAGUUCUUUGCCUCAUUAUGGCAGUCUGUAACUCUCAGUGGGAUGCGAAUCUGCACUGGUACCUCUCCAUUGAUGAUCUGAGUGUCUUCAACUUUGGCAUAAACUUCAUCACAUUCAUCAUUCUGUUCAACAAUCUUAUACCUAUUUCCCUUCAAGUAACUCUAGAGGUUGUAAGAUUUAUACAGGCUGGCUUCAUCAACAAUGAUGUGAAUAUGGUGUAUGAAGAGAAUGACAUCUGGGCAAUGGCAAGAACAUCAAAUUUGAAUGAAGAGUUGGGAAUGAUUAAAUAUGUGUUAUCUGAUAAGACUGGCACACUGACUUGCAACAUAAUGGAAUUCAAGAGGUGCACUAUUGGCGGAAAAGUAUAUAGCAUGGAUGAUGGAAGUGCCCAAGAUUUGAUCUCAUUGGUUGAGACUGGGGGUCCAGGAUCAGCUAUAGUUCGACAGUUCCUGAUGAUGUUGGCAGUUUGCCACACAGUUAUACCAGAUAGAGAUGAUAGUAAACCAAAUGGUGGUAUCAUCUAUCAUGCUGCAUCACCUGAUGAGAGAGCAUUGGUCGAAGGGGCCCGUGAACUAGGGUUCGUGUUCGAGACCAGAACUCCGGAACAUUGUAUUGUGGAUGUGCUGGGAACGAAGGAGAAAUAUGAAAUUCUGAAUGUCCUCGAAUUCACCUCACAGAGAAAGAGGAUGAGUGUCAUUGUGAGGACACCACAGGGACAGAUCAAGCUUUAUUGUAAAGGUGCUGAUACUGUUAUAUAUGAACGACUAGGGGAUAGUCAGCAGUUCCGAGAUGUAACAGUACGACACUUGGAAGAGUUCGCUGGAGAAGGUCUGCGCACUCUUUGUUAUGCAGUUGCAGACAUAUCACCUGAAUUUUAUGAGGAAUGGAAAAAUACUUUUUAUAAAGCAAGUACAGCUUUACAAUUUAGAGAAAGAAAGUUAGAAGAUGCAGCACAGCUUAUAGAGAAUAAUUUGACAUUAUUAGGCGCUACAGCUAUAGAGGACAAAUUGCAAGAUGAGGUUCCUGAGACCAUCGCAGCACUUCUGAAGGCUGGAAUUCAUGUCUGGGUUCUUACAGGAGACAAGCAAGAGACUGCCAUUAAUAUAGGUCAUUCCUGCCACCUACUUACACAAGGGAUGCCUCUAAUUAUACUAAAUAGUGAUUCUCUUGAUGAGACCCGUGAAUCAAUUAACCGCCAUGUGGUUGAGUUUGGAGAUCAGUUGAAGCGGGAAAAUGAAGCUGCUCUCAUUAUUGAUGGGAAGACUUUGAUAUAUGCCCUAACACCCGAUUUACGAAAAGAUUUCUUAGAUCUCUGUAUAUCUUGUAAAAGUGUUAUUUGCUGUAGAGUGUCACCCAGCCAGAAAGCUGAGGUCGUAGAGCUCUUGACUCGAGAAACAGGCUCUGUUACCUUGGCCAUUGGAGAUGGAGCUAAUGAUGUUGCCAUGAUACAAAAAGCCAAUGUUGGUGUUGGCAUAGCAGGUUUAGAAGGUCUACAAGCAGCUUGUGCAUCUGAUUAUGCCAUUGGCCAGUUCCGUUUCUUGGCCAGGCUACUCUUUGUCCAUGGAGCUUGGAAUUAUAGUCGCCUGUGCAAGGUGAUUCUGUAUAGUUUCUAUAAGAACAUUUGCCUCUAUGUUAUUGAGCUUUGGUGGGCUGCAAUGUCUGGCUGGUCAGGGCAAGUGAUAUUUGAGCGCUGGAGUAUAGCUAUGUAUAAUGUGUUAUUCACAGCAGCACCUCCCUUAGUCAUGGGAAUUUUUGACCGAUCAUGUAGUGCAGAAACAAGAAUGAAAUAUCCAGAGCUCUAUCGUGAAUCUCAGAGCGGGUCUCACUUCAACUGGAAGGUCUUUGUAUGGUGGGUAUGGCUGGCGCUCGUACAUUCUGUAAUGGUGUUUGUGCUGCCUUACCUGGCCAUGACUCAGGAUGUUGCUUGGGGUCAUGGUCUUGUUGGAGGCUACCUCAUGGUGGGCAACAUGGUGUAUUCGUAUGUGGUGGUCACAGUGUGUCUCAAGGCAGGACUGGAGACAGAUGCAUGGACCUGGGUGACCCACUUGGCUAUUUGGGGAUCCAUUGCUUCGUGGUUCAUCUUCCUGCUGGUUUACUCAAACUUCUGGCCUGUUCUACCAAUGGCGCCAGACAUGUGCGGGAUCUAUCUCCAGGUGUAUUCAUCUCCGGUGUUUUGGUUUGGAUUGAUAAUGAUACCCCUGGCCUGCCUGUUGCCAGAUGUAUGUGUUAAAACGAUACGAAACUCAGUAUUCAAGAGUUUAACAGAACAAGUGCGUGAGAGCGAGAUUAGCAACAAGGAUGUAUCGAAAGUUCUUGACACCAAACACAGGUAAGCGCUGAAGGCUUACCUGCACCUUCUUCCGCCCACCUGCCUCAGGCCACACCAACUUUGUGCAGCACGACCAUCAGAUGACAUUAAUUGGUCUGCCCAGCUCAGUGACCCAACCCAUUUGCUGUGGUUCUAGGCUCCCCUCCACCCUAUGCAAGCCUCCAGUCACACACCCCAAAAGAGCUUACCCAUCCUCCCCAUCCUCUUUGAUGAAGAACCCACCAUCCCAUUCUACCAGGCCUGCCCAAUCAGUGUUCAGGAUGCUCUCCAGCCAGCCCUCCCCACCCUCCAAGUUGUGUAGCAUGACUGGUCCACAAGCCUCACCUAGUUAGUCAAGCUCACCGAAACUGCUCGACUUCUAAAGAACGUGUUCCGUAGAACCACAACCAGAGUCAACUUAGAAGUAGAGCUUGCUCAUGGCUUUGCAUUCUCGCAAGAAGAGCACGGAGUGAUGGGCCAG